rnacentral:rRNA from 1 species
CGGAGGGUGCAAGCGUUAUCCGGAUUCACUGGGUUUAAAGGGUGCGUAGGCGGGCAGGUAAGUCCGUGGUGAAAUCUCUGAGCUUAACUCAGAAACUGCCAUGGAUACUAUUUGUCUUGAAUAUUGUGGAGGUAAGCGGAAUAUGUCAUGUAGCGGUGAAAUGCUUAGAUAUGACAUGGAACACCAAUUGCGAAGGCAGCUUACUACACAGUUAUUGACGCUGAGGCACGAAAGCGUGGGGAUCAAACAGGAUUAGAUACCCUGGUAGUCCACGCCCUAAACGAUGAUUACUCGACAUCAGCGAUACACUGUUGGUGUCUGAGCGAAAGCAUUAAGUAAUCCACCUGGGAAGUACGAUCGCAAGAUUG